UUUAGAUGUGUUGCUCUUUCCAUGCGAAUCUGAUUUUCUUCUAACAGCUUUCUUACUGUAGAUGGGGUGUUAAGAAGCCUCAAAUCAUGAAAAAUUCUGUCACGAUCUUGUCGCGUGCAGGUCUUGGGAUGGCCAUGUUCAGUCUUGGUAAGAUCAUUGAUAUGCUCAUUCGACGCGAGGGGUGUCAUCAAGAAAUAUGACUGUCCCGAACAAAUUCUUGAAGAAUUCUUUCAUUUAAGACUUGAGUUCUAUGUAAAGAGAAAGAAAGUAAUGUUGGAUAAUCUUGAGAAGGAAGAAGCCCAGGUGGAGGAGGUGACAAGACAGAUGGAGGGUAAG